AUUGAACGCUGGCGGCAUGCUUUACACAUGCAAGUCGAGCGGCAGCGCGGGGGCAACCCUGGCGGCGAGCGGCGAACGGGUGAGGAAUGCAUCGGAACGUGCCCGAGAGUGGGGGAUAACGCCGCGAAAGCGGCGCUAAUACCGCAUAUUCUCUGCGGAGGAAAGUGGGGGACCUGCAAGGGCCUCACGCUCCCGGAGCGGCCGAUGUCAGAUUAGCUAGUUGGUGAGGUAAAGGCUCACCAAGGUGACGAUCUGUAGCGGGUCUGAGAGGAUGAUCCGCCACACUGGAACUGAGACACGGUCCAGACUCCUACGGGAGGCAGCAGUGGGGAAUUUUGGACAAUGGGGGCAACCCUGAUCCAGCCAUGCCGCGUGAGUGAAGAAGGCCU
rnacentral:rRNA from 1 species